AAGAAUGGAAGGAAGGAAGGAAGGAAGGAAGGAAGGAAGGAAGGAAGGAAGGAAGGAAGGAAGGAAAGAAGUAAAAAGAAAGAAAGAAGAAACCACAGUGAAUAACCAAGUAAACACAGGAAAUCUAUUUUGCCUCCAGAACACAAUGGGGCAACCCCAGAGAAUGACACAAAGGCUGGGCCAGCCCUGCAGAAGAAGGGGGCCCUGAAAGGCUUUAGCUACACAACUGGAAUAUUCCCCGUAUGACAACACUAAGUUUCCUGGUGUGCAUAUGUGUUUUAAUUAUAAUUAACAAACCCUGGCUGGAGAGGACACCACCACUACCUCCUCCUCCCAGCGCAUGAAGAAACAUGCACCAGCCACAGGCAUCACAUGCCUUAAAGCACCAGCCAUUUCAAAACCGAUUGUGUUUUCUUCUCCAAACCUGAAGCCUGCCUCUUUACUGAGGUUUGGCCUUUGAAAACCCCAGAGAGUUGAUGCCAAGCCCUCUCUGCCUGAAUUGGCCCCUUUGAUCAGGUGCCUUUAAAAGGAUCCUGUGCUUCCUCUAGUGUACCUGCUCUCGUCUCAAACCCACAGAUCCAUCCCAGAACUGAUGCGAAACCUUGAACAUUAAGUCCUUCCCAGCAGGCAUAUAUGAAUGGCGCAAAACAGACUGUGUUCCUUGCCAUUAGGUCUGGGGUCCCUGGCUUGCAGCUAAUGGGCAUCAGUUGUGCUGAUGAAGGCCUGGGCUGGUCUCUGGCGAUUAUGCCCCAAUGAGGCCAGAGUUAGUCUGCACAACUGAGGAAGGAGCUUAUUUUAAGAGUUUUGGCUCAUUCAGUUUAAGAAUGUGAAGAAAAGAAAUGGGUGGAGUCACCCCCAAUGGGGACCACGCACUGUUAACCUCAGCUCAGUUCUGCUGCUGAUGUGACUAUGGCCACAAGCUGCCAAAUGCUGCUUCCCUCUGCUUGUUAAAGAGCCAGGCACCCAUCUGACUUACUGAGUACAGCUCAUUCAGGACCUUCAUCAAAUCAUCUUGGAGCUGCUGGCCGACUUCUUUACUCUGCAAGGAAAGAAGAAUGAAGGUUAAUUGGGGAACAGAAGGAUUCCAUAGCCUUUGCCAUCGUCAUCCUCACACCAUUUCUAGGAGAAUAAGCCGGCAAAAAGGAUGCUUUCUCAUUCCAUUUGCAAACGGGCCCACAGAGGUCUGGGAAGGCCAACUUCUUGAAUAAGGCUCACAAGAAGGUCCCUGAAAGAAGAGUCAGGUGGGCUAUGUCAUUUUCCUGCCUGAGACCUCAAAGACUCAGAAAGGCCACUGACUCAGAGAAAGCGCAAAAAGAGAAGGCUUUUUUUCUACUCUCCACCCUCAAAAUGAACAUCAAAAGGAAAACAAGGUCAUGGGAAGAGGCAAGGCAGGAAGAGAUGCGAUGCUUAUGUGGGCAGAAGGCUUGGAUUAUCUUGGCUUUGGAGAGGAGAUGAUUAAAGCUACAGAAUGGGUCUCCCAGUUCGCCCUCUUUCUUUCCUCUCUACCCUGUAUGAGAGCACACCGAGGAAAAAGAUUAGCUUAGAGAAGCAAAGACCACCCUAGCAGGGAGAAGGCACAGGGGCAUACUCUC